GUGCAUAGCUCUUGCAGGAGCUAAAAAGAAAUGUGAAAGCUAAAAAACUGAACAAAACAAUUGUAAAACAUGGACAAAUGUAUAAAAAAAAAAAUCGGAAGUUAACUAGUUAGUUAAGUAAAAAGUGAAAACCGUUUUCAUAUUGACAAUCAAAAAAAAUACAUCGAUCGAGAACUCUGCGAGAAUUGAUGUACUGGGAUGUUCCACAAAAUUAAAUGCAUAGAUAUAAAAUCGCAUUUUUAGGCCCAUUUUGGCGAGGAUUGAAACUGAAUAUACAUUUAAGGAAUAUUGUAGAGAUUCCUCGAAUUGUUUCUUCUACUUCUCAAUAGACAACACAAACAUGAACUGUUCUACAAAAAGCACAUUUUGGUUUAACUGCAAGAAGUGUGUUUAGCAAGGCAACUGGAAAAUGCUAAGAGGACAAUUUUCAGGAUUUUUGCUUUAUUCUAUUAGACGCAAAUAAUGCGCACUGUUCAAUUGAGAGCUGAAUACGUAGCAUCUAUUUAGCAUAUGCUGAUCUUGACAACACUAAAUUUAAUAUUUUGAAAAUCUAAAAUAAAAUUGAACAAUUAAUAUAUAUUGAAAA